ensembl:lncRNA
AUGAGGCUGAUGGGCGGCGGUCUAGGGUUACUUGAAAAUAAUCCCGUCCUUACUUCAGGAGCGGCACAUGAUCAGGCGGACAUCUGGCUGACAGAAGGUGGCUUUUGUAAUGGCACCGAAGAUCUGCAACUGUACAAACACCUGCGUCAUACACACAGCACGUGCAAUGAUCUCUAGAGGAUGUGUGUUGCCCUUCCUCUGAGUUGCAGGUCAUUGCGUUUGGAGGCAGGUGAGCAGAAGUGUCUCCAUCAGUGUUUGUGGGUGUUUGUUUGUUAUUUGGACAGUGUUGAGGAGGAGUGAGCAUUGCACGAGGCUUCAGUGCCAGUGUUUUUGGUCAUGCAUGAAUGCAUGUAUGCAGGUGGGCGUCAGUUAUGAAGAAAUAAACAAAUGUUCUUAAAAAGGUCA